rnacentral:rRNA from 1 species
AUUGAACGCUGGCGGCAGGCCUAACACAUGCAAGUCGAGCGGGAACUUCGGUUCUAGCGGCGGACGGGUGAGUAAUGCGUAGGAAGCUACCCGACAGAGGGGGAUACCAGUUGGAAACGACUGUUAAUACCGCAUAAUGUCUACGGACCAAAGUGUGGGACCUUCGGGCCACAUGCUGUCGGAUGCGCCUACGUGGGAUUAGCUAGUUGGUGAGGUAAUGGCUCACCAAGGCGACUAUCCCUAGCUGGUUUGAGAGGAUGAUCAGCCACACUGGAACUGAGACACGGUCCAGACUCCUACGGGAGGCAGCAGUGGGGAAUAUUGGACAAUGGGCGAAAGCCUGAUCCAGCCAUGCCGCGUGUGUGAAGAAGGCCUUCGGGUUGUAAAGCACUUUCAGUAGGGAGGAAGAGUUGAGUGUUAAUAGUACUCAGCUUUGACGUUACCUACAGAAGAAGCACCGGCUAACUCUGUGCCAGCAGCCGCAGUAAGAC